rnacentral:miRNA from 1 species
CAUAUCUUGUGUUUCUAGAU